GAGCUACAGCAUCACUGGACAAAGGAAGAAAAUCACAGAAUUGUAGAAUCGGAGAAUCACAGAAUGGCCUGGGUUGAAAAGGACCACAAAGAUCAUCUAGUUUCAGCACCCCUGCUAUGUGCCAGGUCACCAUCCAUCAGACCAGUCUGCCAAGAGCCACAUCCAGCCGGGUCUUGACUGUCUCCAGUUGUCAUUGAGAAUUUACCUUGAGCAAAGCUGGAUCUGGGAGCUUCAGAGCUUUUCUCCUAUUGCCCUGAGUAUGUGCCUUCUAAGCAAACUUCAUAAUGAAGCACUAUACCCACCAUUACUGUAAUUUGUUGUUGAUUAUGUAAUCUCAAAUGUAUAAUAAAAUGUAGAUCAAAUACUUUGUGUGACAAAUUUAAUCACAGUCAUACUGUAAUCAAAUAUUGUAGAUAACAUGUAGAUGUUUACUUAAGUAAAUGGAAGCAAGAAUGUCCCUUGCCAAGAUACUUUCAUUCAUCCGUCUAAACAAUGUGAAUCAUCUCAUCAUGAUAAACAUCCCAAGUUGCCUUUAUCUGAAUACUUAUAAUCUAGUUAGACUUGUUAACUUGUGCAUAUUUGUCAGCAUACACUGCACAACUGCAUUACAAAAUGCUAUAAUGUAUAACAUAAAAUUUUGUACUGAAAAAAAUUUAAAAAAAAAACCAAACAAACAUGUUUUGGAUGAGCUACCAUGUGUUUCUGUGAAGAAUAUUAGCAAUUAUGAGAAAACCAUAAUGAAUGCAGUGAUCCUACUAAACUUGCCAAUUGCUCUAGAUAAUUAAGCAGCACUACCUCUGUCUUCACACAUUCCAUUAAGUGCUAGUAUUUCACUAAUAUUCUUCUAAGAAAUGCUUUACUGAGGCAACAUGAUCUUUGAGAAGUUUGAGCAUGUUAUUGUUACAGCAGCAUGUAGAGAAAACUUGAACCUGUUAUUGUUACAGUAGUAUGUAGAAACCAUCUGGUGCCAAGCAGACCUACCUAGAAAUCUGAGUUUCUGGAAUUAUUGUUUUUUUGCAAGUGUUCACCCACCUUACUUUAUUUAGGGUUAUCAGGCAGAGUGACUAAGAGGACCAAAUCAGUGCUGAUGUUCAAAUGCUUUCUGACUUAGGUCUGAGGAUGUUUUCCAGUCACUGAACAUUCUACUUCUACAUUGAGAAAAUUCCACCAAACAUAUCUGAGUAGCAAGGACCUGUGAAAACGGUUAUGAGAAGAGUCUCAGGAAAAUUAUAGAUGUGUUAAGAUAAAGUUUAACUCAGUAUUAUUAAUAAAGUUGUACAAGUUUGACAAAC